rnacentral:lncRNA from 1 species
GGCACUAGGACUUAGAUCAUCAGACUCCCUCCAGAAAGGAAAGCCACUGAGUGCUCCCGGCUGGAGAUGGCUUGACACAGGAGUCCAAGAGUCCAGUAGGGCUUGUGCUUGCUGAAUCCUCCUCUCUCCCACCUCCUCCCCAGCCUCACACAGGUGGCAAGGAUACUUACGACUUUUCCAUUCCUACCAUACUGGCUUGUGUUCCAGACAACACGGUGUUCAACUAGUCCUGUCUGUACUUUUCACUAUCAGGACACCAAGUUAAAUGUCAGCUCAGUGAACGGAUGGAUGUCCCAAGAUGCUUGCUGCCAGUCCCCAUGCCCUGCCUUCACCUUUGGGGUCUGCACCAUCAGCUGCACGCUCUGUUCCUCAGGACUGACCUUCAGAAUGGGAUGUCCUAACCCAGGCCUGACAGAUGAGUCUUAGGGAGGAGGACUUGACUGCCCGAAAUUGUGUCCAGCGAGGUCAUUUCUUACGAGGCUUUCUCCUGAGGAGGUGAACAAGGACGAGCCUGGAAAGAUGCGCUACUCCUACUGCAGCCUCGAGAAAUGCCAGGCGGAGCUCGUGGCCAAGCCUGGCUCCAGGUUCCCUGGCUCUUCUGUGUAAUCUGCAUUUCCUUUCACUGGGUCUUCUUUCACUAGGCUGUGAGCUAGAACUAAGCCCCGAGUCGGGGGCGGUGGCCAGCCCAGAGAGAAGCUUAAGCAAAGACUGGGGUCAAUGGCCUCGCCAGCUUCAGUCCGUUUGACGGAUGUUCCUUUGCAACUUCCCUCCUCAGCUGUUUGCAAGAAGCAGAAAUAAAGAGUUUAAUCCUGUGUUGUUGGAGCCCCUCAAGAUGAACUCUGAAGCCCCCAACUGGGCAGACUUCCCUUGGGCUCCCCCAGGGGGUGGGAGUAGGGAGUGGAUAAAGGAUUUGGAGCUGGUCUGGUCCUACAGGCCACCCUGCAACCACAGCCUUCCCCAGUGGCACAGGGAGCCCAGGGAGCUUGUUCACAGUAUGAGUGAGAGCACGUGGGCCCUGAGCUGGGGCUCUGCCAAGCUCACGGCCAGGCCGCAGCCCGUGCCCGUAUCAUAUUGUGGGGGGACGGUCUAAGCACAGCUUAGGGGGUGGAAGGCAAGGCUCAGAUGGACCCAGGUCUUGGUUUGUAAACAUAAACACCAUUCUCCUCUAGGAGGAAUCAGCGCUCCUUGGAAAAGUAGCCAGGUCUGGGGCUGAAGCAGAGAAAGUACAUGAGCCUGGAGAAUCUUGUGCCAGAGAGCAAGGAGGCACUCAAAGGAUGAUGGGAAAUGUCAAAAGGGCACAGAGGCCAGCUCUGGGGAGCUCCCAUGGGACAUGUCUGGAACCAUUUGAGCAUCAAAAUAUAAUCAUGGUCAUGAAUUAUAAUCCGCUUAAUAAGAUAGGAAUCUCUGAGUCCAUACUGAUGUAAAUAAAUGAAAAAAUGGAAUGUUUGAUGGAAAACAUGGUAUUUAACAAUCUGAAAGUACAGCCCUGUAAAACACUUACUCAUUACAAAGGGAAAAAUAAUAAUUUACAGUGUAGAAACUGGCAGACACCACCUUAAUCAAGUGAUCGAAGUUAACAUGACCAGUUAACUGGAACAAACUGAAAUUGUGUGCCACCUGGUAAAACACGACACCUAGAGCAUAGCAUCAUCGCUCUGCUACGUCUACUCAUGAGGCAAGACGUGGAUCCCUUUGUGUGGAAACAUGAGACAAACCCAAAUUCUACAGAAGGAAUGGGCUGUGAUCUUCAAAAGUGUCAAGGCCAUGAAGAUGGAGGGAAGUUGGAAGCACUGUCCCAGAACGAAGGGGUCUAAAGACACUGGACCACUACGGGCGAUGCAUCAUCCGGGCCUGAAUCCUUUUACUGUAAAGAGCAUGUUUAGGACAAUCAGCAGAACUCAAAUGUUGUGCAGGAAUUAGAUGCUGGUAAUAGGUCAGCCUUCGCUUCCUGAUUUCAGUGGUUGUUUGUGGUUGUGUAGAAGAAUCUCGUUGUUUUUAGGAAAUACACAAUAAGGAAUUCAGGGGUGCUGGAGCACCAUGCUGUGAACGUACUCUCAAUUGUUUCAGGGUGAAACAGCGCUGUUCUUGCAAAUAUUCUGUAAAUUUGAGAUGUUUCAAAAAAUGUUUAAAAUUGAAAAUGAAGCCCCGUCCCUAUGAUAAAGUUCAGGAUGGGGAGGACUACUUUCUCAGAAGUCCAGAUAUACGGCAUUUAGGGAUUUUGUUUGGCUACAAACUCAAUAGCUAUGAAAACUGCAAUGAUAAUAUAUCGCUUGAAAUGUUAUUAAAAUUAAAAAUAAUUCCACCAUACUGUGAGGGCAGGAAAUUGUCUGUUUUAUCUACUACUAUAGUCUCAGUACAGUGUCUGGCAUUAAUAAAUACCUGUUAAAUAAAUGAAUAAUAUGUGGCAAAUAAUAACCCCUCAAUAAAUGGUCAUUUUAACAGUGACUGUUAAUAGUAAGAAUGCAAGCCAACCACAUGAGGCCGCCAAGAUGUUGGUCUUUGGGUGGCAUGAGGUAGAGAGUAGCUCACACACAUAUCAUUAUGGUCAUGCCCAAUCUCGAUCAUCAUGCUCAGUUCUGAAAGCAGCAUUUUAAGGUGUAUCAGGUAUAAUUGCUUUCAACUGUAAAUGACAUAAAACUUGAUUUACAAGGUCUUAAACAAAUGAGGGUUUAAUUCUUUCAUGAAGUUGAAAGUCUGGAAGAAGGCAGCUGAUGGCACCAAUUCUGCACUUCAACAAAUUUGUUGCUGGAGUGUCUAAGAUAUUUUUUAACCUCUCCCUCAUGGUCAUAAGACGGCUACUGCAGCUCCCGGCAUCACAUCCACUUUCAAUGGAGCAAGAAACGAUAAAGGGAUUGUGCCGAUGGCAUUUAUCACUUCAAUUAGAAAAGCAAAAGCUUUCCCAUAAGCCCUUCAUUACAUCUCUGCUUAUGUGUCAUUGGCUAGAACUGGGUCACAUGGACACCCCUCGUUUCAGGGAGGGUUGAGAAAGAGAGUGUUUAGCUUUUUCUUUCUUUGCAUUGGAGGUGGCCAAGGAGAAAGGAUCGCAAACAAUUGCUGGCUUAGCUAAUGAACAACAUCUGCCAUAGAUGGACACUGACAAACCCAAAUAUGUCCAAAGGAAUACAAUAAAGAUGCUAAGGUGUGUGGAUAUCAUGUGCAAGAAACUGAAGAUGUUUGGAUUGAAACAGAAACAAAUUAGGAAGAUGUAAGAGUCAUCUUACAGAAUUGUCACAUGGAAGGGAGAUUUACUUACUCUGCACCACUGUGGAGGACACACAUGGGAGGUAUUAAGAGGUGACUUAGACUGGCCCUGCCCUACAAGGAAUGCCCUGUUCCAUGAGGGAGUGAGUCCCUCUUGUCUGGGAGUGACCAGUGGUGGCUGGACCAUCACUAUUGGGGGCAUCCUUCAUCGCAUGGGAGAUUAGAGUGAAGAACCUCUAGGAUUCCUUUCAUUGCAAAGAUUUGCUGACUUUCCUGUGACUCAAUUAGAAGCCAGGCCCAUGAAGACGCAGGCUGAUUCCUGAUUGUGCUUUGUCACCACAGUGUAAGUUUGUUUGUGAUAGCAUCUUGGUGAAAGAAAGAUGGUUUCUUUUGAAGAAGUCAAAGCACUUAUUUAUCUCUUUAACCCCGUGGCACUGGGCCUCCUCUCUCCUGCUUACAGCUUUAGGAAUGUUUCCAUCUACUGAUCCUCUUGAGCUUGGUGUACAACUGAAGAAAAAACAGUUCUUCCUAACAAGCGAAUGCAACAAGAACUCACAGUGGGCAGGGGGUAGAGCAGAAAGAGUGACAUUUUGACCUCAAGGCUCGAUUUUUCCUUGAGGAUGAAGACAAUACGUGAUCUGCUUGAUCACACAGUCGUAAGACUAAGUGUGGUUGAAACACUUUGGUCAGCCUGCAAGUGCUAAACUGACAAGAGUCAUAUUACAGUGGAUCUAAUCGCUCUGCCUUUCAUCCUGUCCUGUCACGGACAGAAUAUUGAACCUGGGGAAUCUCUACACUAAUAGAAAAGUCUAAUCCCCCAAAACAUAAUUGUUUUCUCGUCACUGGGCCUUCGUUAGCAGUUGUUUGAAUGUUUGGAUGAGCUUUGCUUUGAAUCUUCUCCACUAGUAGUGAUUUUUCUGCUUCUGUCUUAGGAGGCAUCAGCAAAAUGAUCAGUCUGGGUUCGUCCUCCCUCAGCCCUCGAGGCUAGGCCCCUGAUCCUGCAACCCAGUGCUUGCUCCAGAACCUGACCCAGAGGGGCCCAGGAAAUGUAAAACACCUCCAGAAAAGCGUGCUUUUCAUGAUCCAAAUGGGCAAAUGUCACCUGCUGAGAAGCAGUUUAAGUUGCUGUUGCUCAAGAGGAGAAAGACAAGGGACCGAUGUUAACCGCACAUCUGGCGUUCCGACCAGGCACUGUAUUCGAUACUUCAGUGCUGACACAUUUAACUCUCGGACCAAUUUGUACAGAAUAAAGAGAAGCGUCCUUCUGUUGCACAAAAGGGAUUUGAAGUGCUUCAGUUGGGUACAUUGCCUGAGGUGGCAUACCUUACAAGAUGGUGAUCAGUUUCUGAAACAAGUGUUUUUGACUUCAAAGCUUGUCAAUACACGCUCAUCACGCACAGGGUGGCUAGGCUGAGCCUGGACCGUAAGGGUUUUAAAACUGGAAUGACAGGAAAAGAAGCAGGGUUGGGAUGCAGUGGGGCUAACAGCCUGGGAAAUGGCGAUCCAUUUAAAGCUGCCAGGAGAUUUUUUGCCUCUAGGUGUGGACAUGUCUAUUGACCUUUGGGGAGUACUCUUUGCUUUGAGGACCAACACCAGCAAAAUGGGCUUUUCAGUGCUGAGAACUGCUUGCAGGAAUUGAGGGGAAUGGUUUCAUGAAAGACCUGGGGGCCUGGCUGUGGGCAGCUCCUUCUACCCAGAGGGAACAAGCUUGGCACAGACUAGGGGAGAUACCAGUGCCACCCUUAGGGUGUGUGGGGUCCCAGGCGGAUAUGUUUUCUGGUCUCUGUCUAUAUAAACCAUGUGAUUUAAAAAUGUAUUACUAAAUUCAUAGGUUCGUGUUAGAUGUAGCCAUUUAAUGAUGAAGGUUUAGAAUAAUGGGUAGAAAAGAGGUACUUCUCUAUGUGUUUAUUGUUCAAUCAGUGCACCUGGAGAUUCUUCGUAAAGUCCGAGCACCCAAACAGGUGGCCAUGGUGCUGUUCCUCACAGUCCUGUGGGCCUUGGACCCCUUUGUCAUUAAACAGUGUGGAUCUUCUUA